UCCCUGGUGGUCUAGUGAUUAGGAUUAGGCGCUGUCACUGUCGUGGCCCGGGUUCGAUUCCCGAUCAGAGAA
rnacentral:tRNA from 1 species